ensembl:lncRNA
AGGCCCCUUCCUGGCUUCCAGCUCCUUUGCAGAGCAAAAUCGAGCCUUUGUCUUACUCUGCAUCAUGGGGCCGGGUUUCCUGCAGACAGGGACAAUGCCCUGUUGUUCAGGGCCAGCCUGCAGCCAGGGGCCGCGCUCCCAGCACCUCCCCACGCCAUCCCCUGCUGCCUACUCAUAAAUGUGAGUACUUCUUGCAGGGAAAGAUCCCAACCUGCCGCAGGUGAAGGGCUCUGAAACAUGAGAUGAUGGGACUGAACCGUCUGGGAACAGUGGUCCUACCUGAGUUGGCUUAAGGAAAGCCAAGGGUGAAACGUUUGCUUCGUGCCAGAGUUCUUGCACCUCUGCUCGCAGCCCUGUAAGAGCUCUGGGUGCCUGAGAUGGGAGACCUCGGGAAGCCAAAGUGGGAGUGGGGAGCAGCCGCUUUGCCUGCCCUUGGUAAUUACUGUGGGGUACUGCCAACAUGUGCAAACAGCUCUCCUGUGGUUUCUCUCCUCUUUAAACACAUUUAUAGAAAGUACAUAGGCAUGCUGACCUUGUGACAUGGCAGUCACCAUAUGGUGCCAGCAUAUGGGAAGCACGCUCCCAGCUGUGACUGUCAUCCUGCUGCUGAACUACAACGUUCCCUUUCCUUUGUCUUCCCACAGGAUGAAGGGGAGCCCCGGGAAGCUCUGUCCCUUCCACUCUGUGGGUGUUUUUUGGCAGGAAACCUGUGAUGGAGGAGGCUGUAAAACCCAUGGGAAAAAAAGGGUUCCAGUUCAACAACAGAUCACAUCUAUGGUGCCAGAAGGUGAGGGGGAUGAUUGCCACGCAGCACAGUCUAUGUCUUGUAGCACAUUUCACCUUCCAGAAUUAGAUUUGACCGUGCGUUAUUCUGUUGCAGUUGGGGCAGAUUUGUAGCGGGAUGGAUUAGUUCGUGAUCCAGUCUGUUCUGUUGGAGUGUAUAUCACUGGUGAGCAAAUCGUGUCACUGAUGCCAUCUCAGCGUCGCAGCCUCCUGUUGGCAUUGCUCAGCCGUCCCUGGCCACGGGGAUGGCUUCACCCAGCUCCCAGCUGCAAUGUACCAGCACACACUUCUCUCCCUGCUUGUGCCGUGAGCGCUUUGGCAUCAGCUGCUCCAAAUUAGAAAGUGAUGUUACGGGAAACUCAGUAACAGCACAGAAAUGCCAACGUAUCCUCUCUGCCGCCUCGUACUCUGCUUUGUUCAUCCAAAGAAUGUCUUAUACUGCACAACCACAUGGAGGGAUGAGCGCAGGGUUAUGGCUCCGGGAGGGGUGUGGUGCACCUCGAGCCCCAGACACAGUGACAUGUAGGUGCUUCCUCUGUAUCACCUCCCUGGCAGAUCCCCUGGGGGACAAUUGAUCUGCCUUCCCUUGGGCCUCCUUAGGCUUCAUCUCACCUUUUGCUGUGGUUUGGGGUUAGCACUGUGGGUUGUAGGGCAUGCACCCAGCACAGGACCUUGGCAUCAGCAACUCAAGUCCCAUGGACCUGACUGAUCCUGCCUCUUGUUUCCAAACAGCAUUCACUUAUUUGUCUAAGCACCUUUUUGAAUGGUAGUCUCCCCAGAAAGGCAACAUUUUGUUCUUCUGGAUGCUGCCCACUGGAUGCUGCUCCACGGGCGGGUAAUUCCACCUGGGGGGUGGGGGGGAGCUGCUUCUGCCCGGCACUGAGCAAAGUCCCAUGCGCCCACGGUGGGCAGCAACAAUGGGUCCGCAGGAGGUGAGGAGAAGGGAAGAAUGAGCUGGGUUAGGGGAAAUACAGCCUGAAAGAAAAGGAAAGGGCCAGUGGAUCUGAAAGCCCCGAUAAAAGCCCGAGACAAAGGACAAAGGAGCCUGGGAGAUUACCAAAGGGAAGUGGGAGGAGGAGCAGGGAGAAUGAUGUCGAGUGGUACGGUGAUGAUGGGUCAAUGGUUGGAUGAGAUGAUCUCCGGGGUCUUUUCCAGCUUUUAUGAUUCUGCAAGAGUUGUGUGGAGGUGGGAGAUCCCCGGGUAGGGCAGAGGGUGCUGAACGGCUCGCUGCUCUCCAUAUAUAAGAACACAGCCUUUUCCCCUUUCUUGCUGGGAGCACCUGGCAAACUAAGGGACAGAUCCAGCAGGGAAACACGUCUGUGUCCAUCUGUAGCCCCACGUCUGCUUGCACACCCACAACAGCAGCCCUCUCUGGCUCCCCAUCCCCAACCACACAGAACCACGGAGAUGGCAGGCAGGGAGUCGGGCUGGGCAUCCAGCACCCUGCUGCUGGAGGAAGUGUCACACUGCUGCUGUUCGCCUGCUUAUUUUCUUCUAAUAAAAAGGUGGGCAUGACUCACUCCAUUAAGAAACAAAAGCAAAGCUGUAAUCUGCUGAAAGGCGGUUGUUUGGAGGCUCCGUGUUAGGUGUGAGAAGGGAGGAAGGUCAGCUGCAGGUCACAUCCCGUGAUACACAUACACCCCGUUGUCACUUCAGGUCCAACACCAGGGCUCUUCCCCAGGGAGUUUCUGAGCUGUAACAUUUGCCCCCUCUUUCAGACCGAGGCUGGGGAG